GCCGAAGUGGCGAAACUGGUAGACGCGCUAGGUUCAGGGUCUAGUGGAUGUAUUUCCAUGGGAGUUCGAGUCUCCCCUUCGGCACCA
rnacentral:tRNA from 1 species